rnacentral:rRNA from 1 species
AAACCAACAGGGAAUGCCCUAGUAACGGCGAGUGAACAGGCAAGAGCUCAGAUUUGAAAGCCUCUCGGGGCAUUGUAUUCUGAAGCCUUGAUUCUGAGAAACGGUACCUAAGUCUUCUGGAAAGGAGCGCCAAGGAGGGUGAUAGCCCCGUACGGUACUGACCUCAUUGUAGAAUCUUGGCGUGGAGUCGAGUUGUUUGGGAAUGCAGCUCAAAUGGGUGGUAUGCUCCAUCUAAAGCUAAAUAUCUGCGAGAGACCGAUAGCGAACAAGUACUGUGAAGGAAAGAUGAAAAGAACUUUGAAAAGAGAGUGAAAAAGUACGUGAAAUUGUUGAAAUGGAAGGAUAGGCCGCUAACCACGUAGAGCCGUGUCUGAGGGGAGGAUAAAAGCUGUAGAAUGUGACUCUUCGGAGUGUUAUAGCUACAGUGCAUACUCCCACUUCGGGCGCGAGACUAAGCGCUCGCUAAAAUGGUGGUCUAUCACAA